rnacentral:ncRNA from 17 species
AGGGAACCCGGUGCGAAUCCGGGACUGACGCGCAGCGGUAAGGGUGACGGGCGGGGCCCUGUCUCACGACAGCCACUGGACCGCGAGGUCCGGGAAGGCGUCCCGCACCGAGUGAUCCCGAGUCCGAAGACCU